UCUAAAGUAAAGUGUGAUUCAAAGG
rnacentral:piRNA from 1 species